rfam:Triticum urartu cultivar G1812 contig5822, whole genome shotgun sequence.
UGGAUCAUGAGGAGUUAUUGAUGCAUAAUCCAACACUUGAUCCGAGGGGUAGCAUGAGCAGCAUGGGUGAUGUCAACUUUGCAACUGAAUCCUU